AAGUCGUAACAAGGUUUCCGUAGGUGAACCUGCGGAAGGAUCAUUAACACGUAUCCAACGUUAAAAACCCCGUCAACCUUUAUCGCCGCUCCUCAUGGCUAAGUCUUGGAUAAAGCCAACACAGCAAUCCCUGCACUCGUCGAGAAAUGUAAAGAGGAGGGACCUCUGUUUGGUAGAGCACUGUGGGUUGAGCGCUUGGGUUCCACCGGUCGGUAAUCGACCUCUAGUGAUCGUUAAGCGAAAUCCUUAGACAAUCAGUAACACUGUCAUUCACUGAUUGCUUGGGGAAAAGCAAGCCACCUUAACAAGUCACAGGGCUUCGGCUCCCUCCCCAACCCCACUUUCUAUUGCCGCUCCGCGCUAACAACGCCGGGCAUUCAAAAACGUUUAAACAACUGUUAACAAUGGAUAUCUUGGUUCUC
rnacentral:misc_RNA from 1 species